rnacentral:sRNA from 1 species
AAAAAAAGAGAGAAAAACCGAAAACAAAGAGGGAUGCAACACGAGGACUUUCCGGAAGGUCACCCAUCCUAGUACUACUCUAGCCCAAGCACGCUUAACCGCGGAGUUCUGAUAGGAUCCGGUGCAUUAGUGCUGGUAUGAUCGCAUCAGUUACUACAUGCAAUGCAAUCAUAUAUAUUUUUUUUGAAGACUUUAUGAUCCAUUUGCCGUGGGUCCCACCAGCUAUGUAGGAAUACCUAUCUUGUUUAUAAGAGCUUUGAUACAUGCAAAAUAUUUGAAAACAAUGUCCGAACGUAUAAUCUUCGUCCCGUAAUAUAGCAAAGAUCACGAAAAGGCCAGAAAAAGUACAUUAAGGUCAAAAUUUUGACUAGA